AACGAACGCUGGCGGCAGGCCUAACACAUGCAAGUCGAGCGGGACCUUCGGGUCUAGCGGCGGACGGGUGAGUAACGCGUGGGAACGUGCCCUUUGCUUCGGAAUAGCCCCGGGAAACUGGGAGUAAUACCGAAUGUGCUCUACGGAGGAAAGAUUUAUCGGCAAAGGAUCGGCCCGCGUUGGAUUAGGUAGUUGGUGGGGUAAUGGCCUACCAAGCCGACGAUCCAUAGCUGGUUUGAGAGGAUGAUCAGCCACACUGGGACUGAGACACGGCCCAGACUCCUACGGGAGGCAGCAGUGGGGAAUCUUAGACAAUGGGGGAAACCCUGAUCUAGCCAUGCCGCGUGAGCGAUGAAGGCCUUAGGGUUGUAAAGCUCUUUCACCGGGGAAGAUAAUGACGGUACCCGGAGAAGAAGCCCCGGCUAACUCCGUGCCAGCAGCCGCCGUAAGAC
rnacentral:rRNA from 1 species